UCCGCUUUAGGAUGGGGCUGCGGCCCAUCAGCUAGUUGGUGCGGUAACGGCGCACCAAGGCGACGACGGGUAGGGGGCCUGGGAGGGUGACCCCCCACACUGGGACUGAGACACGGCCCAGACUCCUACGGGAGGCAGCAGUGAGGAAUAUUGCACAAUGGGCGAAAGCCUGAUGCAGCGACGCCGCGUGGGUGAAGAAGGUCUUCGGAUCGUAAAGCCCUUUUCUGCGUGACGAGGAAGGACGGUAGCGCAGGAAUAAGUCUCGGCUAACUACGUGCCAGCAGCCGCGGUAAAACGUAGGAGACAAACGUUAUCCGGAGUUACUGGGCGUAAAGGGCGUGCAGGCGGUUUCUUAAGUUCGUCGUGAAAUCGCCCGGCUUAACCGGGCGGGGUCGAUGGAUACUGGGGAACUAGAGGGCGGUAGAGGCGUGUGGAAUUCCGGGUGUAGUGGUGAAAUGCGUAGAUAUCCGGAGGAACACCAGUGGCGAAGGCGACACGCUGGGCCGUACCUGACGCUAAGACGCGACAGCAUGGGGAGCGAACGGGAUUAGAA
rnacentral:rRNA from 1 species